ACAUUACCUAUAUAGGAGCGAACGAGGGGAAUUGAAACAUCUUAGUACCCUCAGGAAAAGAAAUCAAUAGAGAUUGCGUCAGUAGCGGCGAGCGAAAGCGCAAGAGGGCAAACCCAGUGCUUGCACUGGGGGUUGUAGGACUGCAAUGUGCAAGAGGUAAGUUUAGCAGAACAUUCUGGAAAGUAUAACCAUAGAGGGUGAUAGUCCCGUAUGCGAAAAACAAACCUUAGCUAGCAGUAUCCUGAGUAGGGCGGGACACGAGGAAUCCUGUCUGAAUCCGGGUCGACCACGAUCCAACCCUAAAUACUAAUACCAGAUCGAUAGUGCACAAGUACCGUGAGGGAAAGGUGAAAAGAACUGAGGUGAUCAGAGUGAAAUAGAACCUGAAACCAUUUGCUUACAAUCAUUCAGAGCCCUAUGUAGCAAUACAGGGUGAUGGACUGCCUUUUGCAUAAUGAGCCUGCGAGUUGUGGUGUCUGGCAAGGUUAAGCAAACGCGAAGCCGUAGCGAAAGCGAGUCUGAAUAGGGCGCUUAGUCAGAUGCUGCAGACCCGAAACGAAGUGAUCUAUCCAUGAGCAAGUUGAAGCUAGUGUAAGAACUAGUGGAGGACUGAACCCAUAGGCGUUGAAAAGCCCCGGGAUGACUUGUGGAUAGGGGUGAAAGGCCAAUCAAACUUCGUGAUAGCUGGUUCUCUCCGAAAUAUAUUUAGGUAUAGCGUUGUGUCGUAAUAUAAGGGGGUAGAGCACUGAAUGGGCUAGGGCAUACACCAAUGUACCAAACCCUAUCAAACUCCGAAUACCUUAUAUGUAAUCACAGCAGUCAGGCGGCGAGUGAUAAAAUCCGUCGUCAAGAGGGAAACAACCCAGACUACCAGCUAAGGUCCCUAAAUCUUACUUAAGUGGAAAACGAUGUGAAGUUACUUAAACAACCAGGAGGUUGGCUUAGAAGCAGCCAUCCUUUAAAGAAAGCGUAAUAGCUCACUGGUCUAGUGAUUUUGCGCGGAAAAUAUAACGGGGCUAAAGUAAGUACCGAAGCUGUAGACUUGCACACAACUUAGAUUAUUUAAGUUUAGAAUAUGAGAAACUAAGUUAUAUGUUUAGUUAUAUUUUUACUGAUUUUUAUAGAGUAAAGAUAGAAAUAAAACUUAGUAAAAUCAGUAAAAAUAUUCUUAGACUAAAGUUAAGUAGUUUAAGUUGUGUGCAAGUGGUAGGAGAGCGUUCUAUUUGCGUCGAAGGUAUACCGGUAAGGAGUGCUGGAGCGAAUAGAAGUGAGCAUGCAGGCAUGAGUAGCGAUAAUUAAUGUGAGAAUCAUUAACGCCGUAAACCCAAGGUUUCCUACGCGAUGCUCGUCAUCGUAGGGUUAGUCGGGUCCUAAGUCGAGUCCGAAAGGGGUAGACGAUGGCAAAUUGGUUAAUAUUCCAAUACCAACAUUAGUGUGCGAUGGAAGGACGCUUAGGGCUAAGGGGGCUAGCGGAUGGAAGUGCUAGUCUAAGGUCGUAGGAGGUUAUACAGGCAAAUCCGUAUAACAAUACUCCGAGAACUGAAAGGCUUUUUGAAGUCUUCGGAUGGAUAGAAGAACCCCUGAUGCCGUCGAGCCAAGAAAAGUUUCUAAGUUUAGCUAAUGUUGCCCGUACCGUAAACCGACACAGGUGGGUGGGAUGAGUAUUCUAAGGCGCGUGGAAGAACUCUCUUUAAGGAACUCUGCAAAAUAGCACCGUAUCUUCGGUAUAAGGUGUGGUUAGCUUUGUAUUAGGAUUUACUCCGAAAGCAAGGAAACUUACAACAAAGAGUCCCUCCCGACUGUUUACCAAAAACACAGCACUCUGCUAACUCGUAAGAGGAUGUAUAGGGUGUGACGCCUGCCCGGUGCUCGAAGGUUAAUUGAUGGGGUUAGCAUUAGCGAAGCUCUUGAUCGAAGCCCGAGUAAACGGCGGCCGUAACUAUAACGGUCCUAAGGUAGCGAAAUUCCUUGUCGGUUAAAUACCGACCUGCAUGAAUGGCGUAACGAGAUGGGAGCUGUCUCAAAGAGGGAUCCAGUGAAAUUGUAGUGGAGGUGAAAAUUCCUCCUACCCGCGGCAAGACGGAAAGACCCCGUGGACCUUUACUACAGCUUGACACUGCUACUUGGAUAAGAAUGUGCAGGAUAGGUGGGAGGCUUUGAGUAUAUGACGCCAGUUGUAUAUGAGCCAUUGUUGAGAUACCACUCUUUCUUAUUUGGGUAGCUAACCAGCUUGAGUUAUCCUCAAGUGGGACAAUGUCUGGUGGGUAGUUUGACUGGGGCGGUCGCCUCCCAAAUAAUAACGGAGGCUUACAAAGGUUGGCUCAGAACGGUUGGAAAUCGUUCGUAGAGUAUAAAGGUAUAAGCCAGCUUAACUGCAAGACAUACAAGUCAAGCAGAGACGAAAGUCGGUCUUAGUGAUCCGGUGGUUCUGUGUGGAAGGGCCAUCGCUCAAAGGAUAAAAGGUACCCCGGGGAUAACAGGCUGAUCUCCCCCAAGAGCUCACAUCGACGGGGAGGUUUGGCACCUCGAUGUCGGCUCAUCGCAUCCUGGGGCUGGAGCAGGUCCCAAGGGUAUGGCUGUUCGCCAUUUAAAGCGGUACGCGAGCUGGGUUCAGAACGUCGUGAGACAGUUCGGUCCCUAUCUGCCGUGGGCGUAAGAAGAUUGAAGAGAUUUGACCCUAGUACGAGAGGACCGGGUUGAACAAACCACUGGUGUAGCUGUUGUUCUGCCAAGAGCAUCGCAGCGUAGCUAAGUUUGGAAAGGAUAAACGCUGAAAGCAUCUAAGCGUGAAGCCAACUCUAAGAUGAAUCUUCUCUAAGCUCUCUAGAAGACUACUAGUUUGAUAGGCUGGGUGUGUAAUGGAUGAAAGUCCUUUAGCUGACCAGUACUAAUAGAGCGUUUGGCUUAUCUUUAAUAAAGCAU
rnacentral:rRNA from 1 species